rnacentral:rRNA from 1 species
CAGGGGGAUAACACCUGGAAACAGGUGCUAAGACCGCAUAAGCGCACAGUCUCGCAUGGGACAGUGUGAAAAACUCCGGUGGUACAAGAUGGAUCCGCGUCUGAUUAGCCAGUUGGCGGGGUAACGGCCCACCAAAGCGACGAUCAGUAGCCGGCCUGAGAGGGUGAACGGCCACAUUGGGACUGAGACACGGCCCAAACUCCUACGGGAGACAGCAGUGGGGAAUAUUGCACAAUGGGGGAAACCCUGAUGCAGCAACGCCGCGUGAGUGAAGAAGUAAUUCGUUAUGUAAAGCUCUAUCAGCAGGGAAGAAAAUGACGGUACCUGAGUAAGCAGCCCCGGCUAACUACGUGCCAGCAGCCGCGGUAAUACGUAGGGGGCAAGCGUUAUCCGGAUUUACUGGGUGUAAAGGGAGCGUAGACGGUAAAGCAAGUCUGAAGUGAAAUGCCAGUGCUCAACACUGGAACUGCUUUGGAAACUGUUUGGCUGGAGUGCAGGAGAGGUAAGUGGAAUUCCUAGUGUAGCGGUGAAAUGCGUAGAUAUUAGGAGGAACACCAGUGGCGAAGGCGGCUUACUGGACUGUAACUGACGUUGAGGCUCGAAAGCGUGGGGAGCAAACAGGAUUAGAUACCCUGGUAGUCCACGCGGUAAACGAUGAUUACGAGGUGUCGGGGGGUUAUAACCCUUCGGUGCCGCCG